AGGACGAACGCUGGCGGCGUGCUUAACACAUGCAAGUGGAGCGACGAACCAGGGCUUGCCCUGGGGCAGAGCCGCGAACGGGUGAGUAACACGUGGGUUACCUGCCUCGAUGACCGGGACAACCCGAGGAAACUCGGGCUAAUACCGGAUGUGCCCGCAAGGGGAAAGGAAGCUUCGGCCUCCGCAUCGAGAUGGGCCCGCGGCCCAUUAGCUUGUUGGUGAGGUAACGGCUCACCAAGGCUUCGAUGGGUAGCUGGUCUGAGAGGACGAUCAGCCACACUGGGACUGAGACACGGCCCAGACUCCUACGGGAGGCAGCAGUGGGGAAUCUUGCGCAAUGCGCGAAAGCGUGACGCAGCAACGCCGCGUGGGGGAAGAAGGCUUUCGGGUUGUAAACCCCUUUCAGUUGGGACGAAGCUCCGUCGGUGAAUAGCCGGCUGGAGUGACGGUACCUUCACAAGAAGCACCGGCUAACUACGUGCCAGCAGCCGC
rnacentral:rRNA from 1 species